rnacentral:lncRNA from 1 species
CAUUACCCAGUUUCAAAGCUGCUUCCACAUUGGAAUAGGAGGACUUCACUUCUGCUGCCAUUUUUUUUGACUUUGUCUGUAUUAUUACAGAAUAAACUGAAUGACUUAUACUAAGCAAAUGUAUUGGCUCACAAUUCUGGAAGUUGUGAUGUUUAAUAUCAAGUUGAUGGCUUUCUUACUGCAUCAUCAUAGCAGAACAUGGAGGAGAAAGAAAGAGAAAGGGGGUCCCCUCUCCCUUGUAUAAUGUUUUUAAUUGCACCAGUAAGAGUAGAGCCCUCAUGGCCUAAAACACAUCUUGAAGGUCUCACCUCUUAAUACUGUUAUGAAGGUAUUUAUAUUUCAACAUGGAUUUUGGAGGAGACACAUAUUCAAAUGGUUGAAGUGCCUGAGGAUGGUGCUGCCUGUGGCGGCAGCUUGCUGAAGCCAGCUGGAAGCAGGGAUAUUUAAAACUAGUGCCUGUAAGUGAUGGGUAACUAUGCCCAGGGAGAAGCAGUGGAAUAUAUAUGCACAGGCAAUAAUGCUCAAGGAAGAAAUGAAGAUCAGGAGGAAAAAUGUGACCCAAUACUAUUUAAAGUACUUGAACACAAAGGAAUGGUAGUUUUUUGAAAGUGUACACAGGAACUAAAAUACACUAUUUAGUUAUGUAAGUAGGGAAUGAGGAUAAGAUGGAGCCAGUAAUUACAUAAACAAGAGGCAGUGAUGAAAAGAGCACAGUGAUAACGUCCAGUGCACUGAUAUAUCCAAUUAAUUCAUCCCCUUCACCUAAGUUUUCUGCCCAAUGAUAGAUGUACAGUAGUGUCUUUAACUACUGAGGAUACACUGCAAGAACCUGCCCCUGCCUCCUGUAGAACCCUAAAGCUGUGGGUAGAUUCAAGCUCUAUAUGUAGUAUGUUUUUUUUUUCUAUCAUAUAUACCCAUGAUAAAGCUCAACUUACAAAGUAUACACUUUAAUAAUCAUAUCUAAUAAAAUAGAACAGUCACACUAAUAUACUAUAACAAAAGUUAUGUGAAUGUAGGUUCUCUCUCGUUCUCUCUCUCUCUCUCUCUCACACACACACACACACACACACACACAAUUUAUACUGUACUUACCUUCUUGUGAUGAUGUGAGAUGAUGCUUAAAGGAAGCAUUUUGAAGCUUCUCUUUGGACUACCUUAAUUACUACCAA